AAAAAAGAUAAUUUAUUGAUCGUAACUGCUUGAAAUUCAAUCAAAAGAACACACGAGACGAUGACUUUCAAACUGAACUUGUUAUUCAUACUUGUCGUCUUUAACAUAUUUAACUUGGGAUAUCUAUCUAGUCCUUCGCUUACUGAUGAGCGACCUGCAUAUUGUAACAUUUCUUCUGACUCUGGUCCUUGUUUCACGGAUGAGAUAAUAAGUAAAAACAUAUUUGAAUGGAGAUAUUUUUUUUCGACAAUUCAGAAUAAA